UCAGAUGAUCGAAUAAUUAGGGAUUAAGUGCGUUGAUGUUUAGCGGAUGAACAAAAUUCUGCACGAAGCAAAUUAAUAGGUCUCACUUUUCGGUAACGUUUCACUUUUUUGCUCCGAGGAGUUUGUACUUAAAAUCCGGAAAAGUAAUCACCAUUAGAGACUGCUGAAUUUGUUUCAUCUCUGACUUGUUGAACUUUUGAUUGUGCAUUGUAUACAAGCUGGAAUUUGAAUGUUUGAGGUUUCUGCGGGAACAGUUGCGCUUCAUGAACUGGCUGUCUGAUCCUCCACUAAUCGCAGGUUAUGUUGGAUAACUCCGAGUUUUGCUUUCCGCUAUUGUUCCUCUGCUCAACCGGAGAGGAAAGCUCUCGUCAAAUAUGAUCAGGUUUGGUCCUGCUGGGGUACUUUAAUGGAGGGGACCUUAUGAGCUAUAGGAAUCGAGCAUGCGGUGUCAGGUGUGUUGGUUGAAAUUUGGAGUCGCACGUUAUACCAAUCAGUAUGUUUUCUCAAUGGUGCUGUUUAGGUAACCCUUCCUUGUCUCCUUUCCCUUGUCAUUAUCAUGUCUUCUU